GGGCGGGGGUGGGUAUAUAAAGUGCACCUGCCAUAGAUGAUAAGUAGGGUAUGGAUUUUAGAAUAUAUCCGCUCCAUACCUGCCACGCCCCAUAUACGCGCAAUACCCCGCCUUAUUACAGUAAGGGGUCGUUUGGCUCGUUGUUAUGAGGAAAGGGAAUGGGAAUGAUUAUCUUUGUAAGUGUUUGUUUUGCAUCUUUUGUCAUUCCCAUUCUCCAUUUUUAUUUUUAGGUUUACCCAAAAUAUUCUAAACUCAUUCCCCCCCCUUUACCUUUUCCAUUAUCUUUCCUCCUCAUCCCCUCCCAUUUCCGAGACGCAGCCACGCAUCUCCCUUCUCUCUCAAACCCUAACUUGAAGCUUCGAGCUGAGGUAGCCGCCGCCGUCGUCGUUGUUUCUCCGGCCACUCCGACGCCGAUUAGAAAAUGGCUCGUAUUGGUACUUCUUUGAAAAAAAAAUCAAGACUGAAAAUCUGCAAAAAGAAG